rnacentral:rRNA from 1 species
GUACGAGAGGACCGGGCUGGACGGAGCGCUGGUGUGCGAGUUGUCGUGCCAACGGCAUUGCUCGGUAGCUAACUCCGGAUGAGAUAACCGCUGAAAGCAUCUAAGUGGGAAGCUCGCCCUAAGAUGAGUCCCCCCACUGACUAGAUCAGGUAAGACCGCUGGGAGACUACCAGUUACAUAGGCGGGAGGUGUAAGCACAGCAAUGUGUGUAGCUAACCCGUACUAAUGGUCGAGGGCUUGCCGC